GAUCAGCUUAGUUGGUUAGAGCAUGUUGCUGAUAACGCCACAGGUGCAGGUUUGAUCCCCGUAUGGGACA